rnacentral:lncRNA from 1 species
UAGCGCUCUGUCAGUUUACUCCUGAGGAAUUAAUCGUAAUUUACCAUGUUUAAAAAAACUAAAUGACUGCAGUCUUAAUAUAGCGCUGUCGUCGUAGCAGUUCUGACGAACACAUCUACAGUCAGUCAGUGGCACUUUACGGGGUUUUACUCUAAGCGGUGGCAUGAUGACACAAAAAAAGAACUAAACAGCACCACGUAAGCGAGAAAGAGGACGAAGAGACUGGAUGUGUAAGAAAGAGACAGUACGUGUGUCGUGUGACCAUUUUGGAAAGUUCUCGUUCUUUUCCGCUCUCUAGACUACUAGAGACAAACUGGACUGUCAGGGAAGGAAUUUUCCCUUCUGUGUUUUCUUGUAGCGUGAACAUCUUACCAUUGUUGUUUUAUUUCAUUUAUGGAAUACAUUUAAAAAAAAAAACUGUUUAACAGAAGACUAUAGUAAUUCAUCUUGAUAUGCCGAUUAGUGAGAGCGAUUAUCGUCAAUGUGCGAGAUGAGGCAGCAGGGGGCGCUGCAGCAGUUCGUUUUCGCGGUGCCCCUGGAGCGGCCCUGGGGAGCGGGGGCACAGGAGGGGGAGGUGACUCCUUUAUUUUAAUCAAAUAGAAGUUCAGGAAGAAAAAGUUAUACGUCUUUUAAAGCAAACUGAGCGCAAGGGUUAUUUUUUGGUUCCGCUGAGUCACCGGUGCUUGUGCGUUCUACAUGGUGGAUAGUUGACAAGCCAGCAAAAUAAAGGAUAACUUUUUUUAUGGAAAUGGUUCUGCCAGAUGACUCCCCUCCCCCCACCGCCAAGUGCAUUUUCCACACAGAUCCCAGCGUCCCCCCUGCUAACCGACUCAGCGAUGCCUGCACCCGCCUCACUUGCCAUCGCCAAAAUAUUCUGGCCCAAAACAGAGACACAGAGGAAACCAGCCAAGAAGGACUUCAAACUGGAGAAAGGGGCUGCACCGCCACGUCGUUUUUAAAGUCGCAAUGGUCCCCGAGAGCUGAGGCGACAUUUCAGGUCUGCGAUCAGAGCUCGUCUCUCUGGGAGACUGUCUGCUUCGGGGAAGCGUGCACAGCAGAAUCAGUGUUCAGCAUCACCUCAGUGACGAUCAGCACACAGCUAAUGAGCUGCUCCUCAGAUGUCUGCGCCACGUACGGACAGCUGACAUUUCACCUUCCAGCAUUUCAGUAUAUUUCUGAUUCAGUCUUAACAAAAUGCUGCAAAGGAGUAAUAAUUGAACAUGCUGAUUUUGUACUCAAUACUUCCUAAGACUCGGAUAUCGGAUGUGUAGUGGUUAAGUGUCACUCAUAUUACACUAGGUCAUCAAUCAUUGUUAUUUGUACCUGUGUGAAAGUACAGAUGAUGUUUUUGCGGUAAGAAUGUUUAAGAUGAUGUGUAAGAUGUAUUAAGAAAUUUAAGCAGUUAUAUUUGGAUUCACCAGUUUUUAUAAUUUCAGCACUAUAAACUGAGUUACUCAAUUUGAAC